rnacentral:lncRNA from 1 species
UGCGGCUCCAGGGGGCGGAACCGAGCCGUCUCCUCAGGACCUACGCAGGAGGCGCCGUCAUCCCUACAGGGACACCUGAGAGGGCCCAGCCUCCUCCUCCUCAGGACCUACUCGGGAGACGCCGCUGGCUCUCUAGGAACACCUGGGGACCGUGGCCAGGGACGACCCAGCCUCCUUCUCCUCAGCUCCUCAGGAACGACUGGGGAAGCUGUGGCUUCAUGGUCCCCGAGGCUGCCCGAGGAAAGACAGAGUCUCAACCAGGCUGGAGUGCAGUGGCGUGAUCUCGGCUCACUGCAACCUCCGCCUCCCAGGAGAAUCACUUGAACUGGGAGAUGGAGGUUGCAGUGAGCUGAGAUCGCACCAGUGCACUCCAGCCUGGGCAACAGAGUGAGACUCCAUCUUAUAAAAGGAAAAAAGAAAGAAAAGAAAAAUUCCAUAUCUGAGUGUUUACUCCUGAGUUUUUGAGAUUGUUAUUAAGAU